GGGGUCGACUGGUUUUGACAGCGAGAUUAAUGAAAUGGUAAGCACGUCGUGUAAUGGCAUUGAAACACGUAAAAGGCUAGACCAAAUUUUAAACGGCGAGAAUAACUACGCUUUAGCUGCGUAAUCUGAAUUUUAGUAAGAUUAUGCCUCGUCCUACUAGGUAGGAAGGCUAAAUGUCUCCUGAAAGCCUUGGUUAAUGGCGUUCUAUUUGAGGCAUCGUAAAAGUUAACCAAGAUAGUGUAGCGCUUUGAUGCAUUGUCAAGAUUAAGAAGCUAAGUAGUAAGUGGGUUGUCUUUUACCAGCUUACUAUCUAAAACCUAAGAAUAGAAUAAACGUGUAGAAAGCUCUUUGGUUACUUGUUUGGACGAGAGUUCGAUUCUCUCCGACUCCACAA
rnacentral:tmRNA from 1 species